rnacentral:rRNA from 1 species
GACGAACGCUGGCGGCGUGCCUAAUACAUGCAAGUCGAACGCAGUGGGGACGGGGGCGUAACACGUGGGUAACCUCCCAUCAGAGGGGAUAACACUUGGAAACAGGUGCUAAACCGAUACUGAUGUAGGGACCCGCGUGGGAUUAGCUAGUUGGUGAGGUAAAGGCUCACCAAGGCCACGAUGCAUAGCCGACCUGAGAGGGUGACCGGCCACACUGGGACUGAGACACGGCCCAGACUCCUACGGGAGGCAGCAGUAGGGAAUCUUCGGCAAUGGACGAAAGUCUGACCGAGCAACGCCGCGUGAGUGAAGAAGGUUUUCGGAUUGUAAAACUCUUUUAUUAGAGAAGCGGUAUCUAACCAGAAAGCCACGGCUAACUACGUGCCAGCAGCCGCGGUAAUUC